rnacentral:rRNA from 1 species
CCUACGGGAGGCAGCAGUGGGGAAUAUUGCGCAAUGGGCGAAAGCCUGACGCAGCGACGCCGCGUGAGGGAUGAAGGUCUUCGGAUCGUAAACCUCUGUCAGCAGGGAAGAACGGUCACUGUGCUAAUCAGCAGUGAAUUGACGGUACCUGCAAAGGAAGCACCGACUAACUCCGUGCCAGCAGCCGCGGUAAUACGGAGGGUGCGAGCGUUAAUCGGAAUUACUGGGCGUAAAGCGCUCGUAGGCGGGAUGUCAAGUCAAGGGUGAAAUCCCCGCGCUCAACGUGGGAACUGCCUCUGAAACUGGCAAACUGGAGUGUGUGAGAGGAUGGUGGAAUUCCAGGUGUAGGAGUGAAAUGCGUAGAUAUCUGGAGGAACAUCAGUGGCGAAGGCGACUAUCUGGCACAUAACUGACGCUGAGGAGCGAAAGCGUGGGUAGCAAACAGGAUUAGAUACCCCUGUAGUC